rnacentral:rRNA from 1 species
CGCGGCCUAUCAGCUUGUUGGUGAGGUAAUGGCUCACCAAGGCGACGACGGGUAGCCGGCCUGAGAGGGUGACCGGCCACACUGGGACUGAGACACGGCCCAGACUCCUACGGGAGGCAGCAGUGGGGAAUAUUGCACAAUGGGCGAAAGCCUGAUGCAGCGACGCCGCGUGAGGGAUGACGGCCUUCGGGUUGUAAACCUCUUUCAGUAGGGAAGAAGCCCCUUUUGGGGGUGACGGUACUUGCAGAAGAAGCGCCGGCUAACUACGUGCCAGCAGCCGCGGUAAUACGUAGGGCGCAAGCGUUAUCCGGAAUUAUUGGGCGUAAGGAGCUCGUAGGCGGUUUGUCGCGUCUGCCGUGAAAGUCCGAGGCUCAACCUCGGAUCUGCGGUGGGUACGGGCAGACUAGAGUGAUGUAGGGGAGACUGGAAUUCCUGGUGUAGCGGUGAAAUGCGCAGAUAUCAGGAGGAACACCGAUGGCGAAGGCAGGUCUCUGGGCAUUUACUGACGCUGAGGAGCGAAAGCAUGGGGAGCGAACAGGAUUAGAUACCCUGGUAGUCCAUGCCGUAAACGUUGGGCACUAGGUGUGGGGGACAUUCCACGUUUUCCGCGCCGUAGCUAACGCAUUAAGUGCCCCGCCUGGGGAGUACGG